AUGACUUCAUAUCAAGGAAAAGCACUUUACGAAAGAGGAGACUCCAGGGCAACAGAUUUCUUACAGCGGUACUUUCCUAAGUGUACUAAGUCUCAAUCGUAUACCUUUUCUUGGGUCCUUUCUUACCUAUGGUGGACGCUAUUUUAUCACCGGCCUGGUCCUUUCCAUGAAUUGCCUAUCCCUUCAAAGAGGUUCCAUUAGGAUUUGGAUGGCUUGCACCAGACAAAGGUAAACCCCGUGCCGGACCUUGGUAGCCUUUCUUGCC
rnacentral:lncRNA from 1 species